CAUUUUUCCAGUGUUUCCUCACCGGAAAAAAGUUGAAAGAGAGAGAGAACGGUGUCUGUUCAAUGGUGGGCGGUGAAGUGGAAGCGGCGAAGUGGAGAUGCGAGAGGGUGAUAGAGAGAAUACAGAGAUUAGAGAACAUCAAUGAAUCGUGCAGGAGGACUCUUCUCAAAUUGGCUAUUUCAGACCUCCACUUCCUCUCCACCUUCUCUUCUUCCUCCGCCACCUUGAGUAUCAACAUUGGGCAUCUCGAAGCCGUCGUUUACAUUCUACAGCAGCCUGUUGUCACCGGAGUUUCUCGUGUUUGCAAGCCAAUUCCUCUGGCGACGAAAACAUCAUCAUCUUCUUCUUCUUCUUCUUCUUCAAAAGGUGUUCAUGUUGAUGUAGUUUGCACUCUCAAGGGUAUUCCAGUAUGGAUUCUGGUGUCUGAUAGGAACCCUAAGUACGUUUCUUGGCAUGGAUCACACAAAGAUAAGGGCCUAAAAUGGAGAAUUGAACAACUUCUGAAUUCAGCUGCCCAAUAUUCGCAUACAUUGAAACCUUCCUCCGUCGUUCUUUUCUUCUCACGCGGGCUUGCAAGUUCCGUACAUGAGAAGCUACGCUGUGAAUUUGGGGCCUCUGACUUUGGCUUAGACUUCUGUGUCUUCGAUUUUCAUUUCCACGAGGAGGUGGAAGGUGAUUGGACAGAAAUACUCGGGAGAUCGUAUGGAGAGGCAUGUGCUCUUGAACUCAAGCUUGAUUCCGGUAGAGAAGCUGAUUUGGGUUCAGACUCAAUUCUGGUUGCUGAAGGGUUGGAGUUUAAAGAAGGGGUUACUGAAAGAAACUUGGGUCGUUCAUUCUUUUCUCUUCUUUUGGAAAUGAAAAAUUCCGAGUUUGCUAAGCCAGUGGAUUUGCUUUGCCUGGAUGGUCUUAUCAAUUUUGAUACAACAGCUUUAAUUGCCAUUGUGUCCGGCAUCAGUAAUAGUUGUGCAGAGAAGCUUUUGGCCACACCAGAGAACGAAUUGAGGCAGCGGUUUAAAGGCAACACCGAGUUUGUUAUCUCUCAGGCGAAGUCUGAAAUUCAGCAUCCUAUACACCUGGAUUUGGGAAAUGUGAUUUCUGGAAGGAUGGGCAUGAUUUGUGAAAGUGUUCUUUCAGAAUUCAAGGACUUGGUUUCAAUGUGUGGAGGUCCAAACGAAAAGUUGAGGGCCAAUUAUUUAUUGCAACAAAUCAUGAUUGUGCCUGAUAGUCCUUCAGAGCGCAUAAUUGGUCUCCCAACUACAAGAAAGCUGGCACUGAAGAACAAAAUCGUUUUUGGGACUGCCGAUUACUGGCAUGCUCCAACUUUGACAGCAAAUAUGGCAUUCGUUAGAGCGAUUUCACAGACAGGGAUGUCCUUGUACACCAUUGAGCACAGACCACGUGCUUUAACAGGUGAUUAGCCAUGCAUGAAAUCAAGCACAUCAGCGAGACAUGAUUUUGAUGAGCAAGUCAGUGUCCACUCUUCAUUGAUCACAUUCUAAUGGAGGAAUGAUUGGAAAAUCUGACCUACAAGAAUUUAGGGUGCAUGAAGGGUUAAAGCAAAACAGUUGCUGCAACGGAUGUUUUAGCUUACUGGAAAAUUGUGACGGGAAGAACAUUUCAGGUUUUGUGAAGAUUCCUUGUGUGAAACGGGUAGGAAAGGAUGUGGAGAUUGAAGGGGAAUGCAAGGGAGAUUUAUAUUGUUCGGCUUAAAGAUUGACGAGCAGCGAUUGAAUCUUGGUUUUUGGGUUUCUUUUUUUCUUUAUUUUGUUUAGGUCUGAAUUGAAGCCAUGGGAGGGCAUAUAAGCAAAACUAAGGCUGCUGGCGCUUCUGUUGUGAGUCUCAACAACAAUUUGCAAUACUCAACUGAAUUGAGCUCUUAUGAGGUUGCUUGCAGACUCGAGAGGACUCUUGCGCUCCUUCGACAACACUCUCCAAGUGCGUACCAAUCAUGUAAUCAACACUCUUGCUGCGGUGUUGAAGUUAAAGCACUUUUAUAUGAUUCCUUGGAAGAAGUUAAAUAGUGCCUUUAACUUUCUUGUGUAGAUUCUUUAUUUGAUUUACAGUGUUUUCCAUCUCCUGAUGUUUGUUUGGUCUGAAAAUGCAGUAAAAAUUCUAUCAAAAAUGGUGUGUUGUAUCCCAUCGAAGCUUGCUAGUUCUUUUCCUCUUUGGCUUGUUACAAUGAAAUGAUCUUUGUAACUGGACUGAUGCAUAUGUAUCUCGCUCUCUUCAAAGGGAUUCAAAUCUUCUGAAUUGGUGAA